GCGAAAAGGGAAGGGGGGAACGGGAUCUGGGGGUCCCAUGGCAAAAGCAGGAGGAAAUAAGGGUGGAGGUGGGGGGACAGGGACAGAAAGACGUAUCGGCCCUCGGAGAGAAGAAAACAACGCGUGAUCACCUCUAAUCCUUUGAAAAAUGUCCCGAACAGCAAGUGGAUGGGAAAGGAGCCUCGACAACAUAAACCUCAUUGACUUAAUGGGUCGGUUUUGGAUUUCGCCUUCGAAAUGUUCGGCGAGUGGCAGCGUUGUGUUUCUGCCCCGCCGGUUCCCAGCCUUCAACCCCGGUUCUCAUCCCGACGAGAAGCGGCUCCCAAAAACCCGCUGUUGGUUUUGUUUUGUUGCGCUGUUUGUUUCCUCUAGAACCUCGUACUUCUAGAAAAAAAAUAUUAAAUUUUACUUUUGAUUGGG